rnacentral:lncRNA from 1 species
UUUUGGGUUUGGAUCCCCAGCGCAAUCGCCAGAGCUACCAUACGUCCUUUUUACAAACCACCUGAACGUUAUAUAUAAGGGAGUUUUUUACUUUAAGUGACAUUAUUCGAAAUGGGAUUAGUUAUUUAAUUUUUUUUCCUUUGAAACUAUAUUCCCUUGUUUUUCCAUGUUCUCUAGAUGGGUUCCUAAUUGCAGAACCUGAACCGCUUUCCUUUGAAACUAUUUUCCCUUGAAACUUGACUUGUCUUCAUUUCCCUUGAAACUUGACUUGUUUUCCUUUAAAACUUGAGCUUUUUUCCAUUGUUCUUCAGAUGGGUGCUUGACUGUUGAACUUGAACUGUCUUCCCUUGAUACUUGAGCUGCUCUCCCUUGUUCUCAAGAUGGGUUCCUGAUUGCUAAACUUGACACGCUGUCCUUUGAAACAUUUUCCUUUGAAACCUUUUUGCUUUGAAGCUCGAAGUGCCUUCCCUUAUUCUCCAGGCGGGCGCCUGAUUGCUGAACUUGAACUGUCUUAUGUUGAAACUUGAAUGGCUUUCUCUUAUUCUCCAUGUGGGUGCCUGAUUGAUGAACUUGACCCGCUUUCCUUUGAAACUUUUUUCCUUUGAAAUUGCUUUCCCUUGUAACUUGAAUUAUCUUCCUUCAAAACGGAUUUCGCAUGAAACUUGAGUCGUCUUCCCCUGUUCUCCAGGUGGGCGCCUGAUUGCUGAACUUGACCUGUUUUUCGUUAAAACAUGAGCUUUUUUCCCUUGUUUUUGAGGUAGGCGCCUGAUUCUGCAACAAAACAAACAAAACAAAAGAAAUUUUUCUGCCGCAGUUUGCACUAGGAAGAUUUGUGAGUUGUUGGCAAAACUAUAUAUCACCUACGUUGCUGAUGGAGGAUGCAAUGAUGAGAGUAAAACUAAUGACUCGACUAGGAUGUGCAUCUCCAAAAAGUGAUUAAGCUUGUGGAAAAGAAAAAUUAUGCUUGACUAAAGUAAAAACUGACCCUGUUCUCCAAGCGAGACCCCUGAUUUCAAGAAAACUAAAAUUGACCAUCCUUUUUUUUCAAAUCCAGACUUCCUUUUUUUUGACCACUUCCCUUUCUUUAAAUUAUUAUCCUAGGAGAACAUUCGUCAGACUAAUUUUUCC